AAAAAGCAAAAAAUAUUCCAGACAAUAAGCAUGUCUAAAAGACAUCGUAAAGACAUCAUAAAGACAUCAUUAAGACAUCAUAAAGAU